rnacentral:rRNA from 1 species
UACGUAGGGGGCAAGCGUUGUCCGGAUUUAUUGGGCGUAAAGAGCGUGUAGGCGGCCAGAUAGGUCCGUUGUGAAAACUCGAGGCUCAACCUCGAGAUGUCGAUGGAAACCGUCUGGCUAGAGUCCGGAAGAGGAGUGUGGAAUUCCUGGUGUAGCGGUGAAAUGCGCAGAUAUCAGGAAGAACACCUAUGGCGAAGGCAGCACUCUGGGCCGGUACUGACGCUGAGACGCGAAAGCGUGGGGAGCGAACAGG